UACGGAGGGUGCGAGCGUUAAUCGGAAUCACUGGGCGUAAAGCGCACGUAGGCGGCUGUGUAAGUCAGAUGUGAAAUCCCCGGGCUUAACCUGGGAACUGCAUUUGAUACUGCGCAGCUCGAGUCUGAUAGAGGGGGGUGGAAUUCCAGGUGUAGCGGUGAAAUGCGUAGAUAUCUGGAGGAACAUCAGUGGCGCAGGGGGCCCCCUGGAUCAAGACUGACGCUGAGGUGUGCAAGCGUGGGGAGCAUACAGG
rnacentral:rRNA from 1 species